UACGAGUGCCUCAAGCGUUAUCCGGAAUCAUUGGGCGUAAAGGGUGCGUAGGCGGACUAUUAAGUCAGUGGUGAAAGCCCCCAGCCUAACUGGGGAACUGCCAUUGAUACUGAUGGUCUUGAGUACAUUUGAGGUGGGCGGAAUGUGUCAUGUAGCGGUGAAAUGCUUAGAUAUGACACAGAACACCGAUUGCGAAGGCAGCUCACUAAACUGUAACUGACGCUGAGGCACGAAAGCGUGGGGAGCAAACAGG
rnacentral:rRNA from 1 species